rnacentral:rRNA from 1 species
CCAGACUCCUACGGGAGGCAGCAGUGGGGGAUAUUGCACAAUGGGGGGAACCCUGAUGCAGCGACGCCGCGUGGGUGAAGAAGCGCCUCGGCGCGUAAAGCCCUGUCAGCAGGGAAGAAAAUGACGGUACCUGAAGAAGAAGCCCCGGCUAACUACGUGCCAGCAGCCGCGGUAAUACGUAGGGGGCAAGCGUUAUCCGGAUUUACUGGGUGUAAAGGGGGCGCAGACGGCGAUGCAAGCCAGGAGUGAAAGCCCGGGGCCCAACCCCGGGACUGCUCUGGAAACUGUACGGCUGGAGUGCAGGAGAGGUAAGUGGAAUUCCUAGUGUAGCGGUGAAAUGCGUAGAUAUUAGGAGGAACACCAGUGGCGAAGGCGGCUUGCUGGACUGUAACUGACGUUGAGGCUCGAAAGCGUGGGGAGCAAACAGGAUUAGAUACCCCAGUACA